GGGUUAGUGUUCUGAUAGGAGACAAUGGAAGAUACCACCAUCUAAUCCUCUUACAUGUAUGGCUGGGAGACAAAAUGGAUCUGAAAGAAAAACUCACUCAUUCAUGGAGCUUGGUCAUGCACAGGAGAUAAAGAAGACUUGGAGAAACAGUUGGGCAUGGCCCUUGAAGUACUCAGGCACUCAUGUCACAAGCCAAAUUGGAUUCUGACACUGUUCCGAGCAGCCAGGCACACAUUGCCAACACUGUUAAGGCUCUGAUGGAGUUGGGCAAGCCUGGAAGAAGCACAAGAGUGUGCAGCCAUGGCUCACUGCAGAGAGAGCUGGACCCAUAGCAUCUCUCAAACCGAAAACUGAACUCUAACACAGGCUGUGUAAGGAUGUCUGGGAGAAGCUACAGAAAGCAGUGAUGACCAAGGAGGGGCCUCAUCAAAAUGAAGCUAUGACAGAUAACCACCUGGAUCCUUGCAGCUGUCAACACAGGCAACAAACCACAGCAGCGUCAGCAGAGUCUCCCAAGAUGAUAUCCACCAUAAACCAGGCUCUCUGAUGUCACGUCAUUGCUGCUGCAGACAUUCCAAAGCAUCUUUUAUGGUCAUCACUCUAUGCCCACCCCCAGAUCCCAUUUAUGUUUUAAUAAUACCAUAGAUCCCAAUUUAAGAAGUAUAAGUCUGCUACCAUUUAAUGAUAUUAUUUUGUGAUCUCAUCUAUUUUAGUAUUUUACAUGUCACAUUGCAGGAGGAGUUUCUAGUCCUUUCCUAAGUGCUAAAGACUCGAGCCCCGUCCCUUGUUACCUAAAUCUAGUGUAUUCUACAUGUGGGUGGCUUAUCUUGUGAUGGCUUCCAACUCAGACAAAUUGCGAUGUGUCAGGGUGGCUGACAAAGGUUAAGUAAGUGUUGGUAGUUCUAGGCCAACCCCAAAGAGAAGGAGGCAGCAUAUUACAUAGAAUGUUAAAAUGUGCUUUCAGUUUGGGCUGG